AUUGCAGUGUCAAAAGUCUGAGCCCACGGCAAGCUUGCUUGCCAGUGGGGGAAAGACUUUAUGACACGCACCGACAUGAGCAAGUAGUGGGGUGGGGGCCCACGGAUUGCGAAUGGCGGGGAGCGCGGUGGGAGCUGCGUAGCAGCGCAGCCGCG
rnacentral:sRNA from 1 species